CUUAUCUUCCCUUUCUCGUCCUAGAAAUGGAAAAAUCACAGUGCAUGUGUGAAGUACACAGCUUUUAUAGUGUUUAUUUAUGUGCAAAGAAUUAAUUCAAAGGUUGUUUUUAGUUAUAUCUUUCCAAAAUCGGCAAUAAUUUCUUUUCCUUUUGUUUUUCUUCAAAAUUACUUAGUCAAAAUUGAUUAUUAUUGUUUGAUUUUUGUUGUAUUGUGUUCAUUUGCUUGAUUUCCAUUGGUUGGGGGAUGAAGGGUUUGGAUUGAGUCGAUUAAGGCUCAGAUCUGGCCGUUCAUUUUUUGAUAAGUGGUUUAAGCCAUAGAUUUGCUUUGUAAGUUCAUUUUCUAGGAAAGAUUGUUUGUCUCACAUCGAUGUUUGGAAGGUUUGAACAAUUUUUACCAAUAGAGGGGGUCGAAAAAAAUAUUGGGAAAAAUUCAAGAAGGCUAGAAACAUUGAAUUCAAGCCUCUUAAGUAUAAAAAAUUUAAGACUUCGACUUAGUCUGAGGUUUUCUGAGUUCUAAAAAUUUGUUUCUUUUCUUGUUUUCGAGUCUGUGUGGCUGAGCGUGGUUUUGGAAGCACAAAUGGCUUUCAAGUUCGAUUUUGACCACGGCUGCACUUUUAAAAGUUGUUUUGGAGGAAGGAGCCCUUGUUUCAUCAAUUUGAUCAUAUAUCCAAGUGAAGAAGACUAGAGAAAAAGAUUUUGGUCGAAACGGGGAGUGAGCUUGGAUAGGUGUAUAAAGCCAAAAAGGUACCGACGACAGGUUUGCUGAUCCGUCCGCUUAGGAUCUUAUUCUGCUAUUUUGGAGCGCUCUUUUAUUCAGAGCCAUCUUUUGGUAUAGUCUGUCACUUCUAUAUAUGUAUAUUCUCGUUCAUGGGUACGGCGGGGCCCUGUCCCGUCAUAUGAUUCUGUCGGUCUGUUUAGAGGUCUGUGGACAUGUUUGUGGGUUGGGGUCUUUCUGUACAGAUGUAUGUAUAUGUCGUGUUUGGGCGAUUCCAUUCGCCGCGGCGGCCGGUCCGCAUAUGUUAAAUGCUGCUUUUGUCGGCCCUGUGUGGCCUUUGUUGGUAUUUUUUGCGUGCAGGGUAUAUUGGAUAGUCC